rnacentral:rRNA from 1 species
AGAUUGAACGCUAGCGGGAUGCUUUACACAUGCAAGUCGAACGGCAGCGCGGACUUCGGUCUGGCGGCGAGUGGCGAACGGGUGAGUAAUAUAUCGGAACGUGCCCAGUAGCGGGGGAUAACUACGCGAAAGCGUGGCUAAUACCGCAUACGCCCUACGGGGGAAAGGGGGGGAUUCUUCGGAACCUCUCACUAUUGGAGCGGCCGAUAUCAGAUUAGCUAGUUGGUGAGGUAAAGGCUCACCAAGGCGACGAUCUGUAGCUUGGUUUGAGAGGACGACCAGCCA